rnacentral:rRNA from 1 species
UACGAAGGGGGCUAGCGUUGCUCGGAAUGACUGGGCGUAAAGGGCGCGUAGGCGGUUUGUCCAGUCAGAUGUGAAAUUCCUGGGCUCAACCUGGGGGCUGCAUUUGAUACGUGCGGACUUGAGUGAGGAAGAGGGUCGUGGAAUUCCCAGUGUAGAGGUGAAAUUCGUAGAUAUUGGGAAGAACACCGGUGGCGAAGGCGGCGACCUGGUCCUUGACUGACGCUGAGGCGCGAAAGCGUGGGGAGCAAACAGG